UUGCUGGAUUUGCCAUUCAUCAUCACCAAGUUCCUAAGUCCUAAAGAUUGAGUCUACAGUGGCCAAAGGUCAGGACCAUGCUGGUGAUCAGGAAGAAGUGACCUGUCUCUGCCAGGGGAGGAUCGUAGUUCUCAGUUUGUGACUAUGGAGCUCUUCUCUUCAGCUAGGUAGCUAACAGAAGCAUGUUAUUUGGCAUUUGAUUGGUUUGGAGUGAAGGCUGUAGAGACCACUAGCACCGAUCUGAA
rnacentral:lncRNA from 1 species